GAUGAAGAACGUAGCAAAAUGCGAUAAGUAAUGUGAAUUGCAGAAUUCAGUGAAUCAUCGAAUCUUUGAACGCACAUUGCGCCCGCCAGUAUUCUGGCGGGCAUGCCUGUUCGAGCGUCAUUUCAACCCUCAAGCACAGCUUGGUGUUGGGACUCGCGUUAAUUCGCGUUCCUCAAAUUGAUUGGCGGUCACGUCGAGCUUCCAUAGCGUAGUAGUAAAACCCUCGUUACUGGUAAUCGUCGCGGCCACGCCGUUAAACCCCAACUUCUGAAUGUUGACCUCGGAUCAGGUAGGAAUACCCGCUGAACUUAAGCAUAUAAUAAGCGGAGGA
rnacentral:misc_RNA from 1 species